UGGGGAAUUUUGGACAAUGGGCGAAAGCCUGAUCCAGCAAUGCCGCGUGUGUGAAGAAGGCCUUCGGGUUGUAAAGCACUUUUGUCCGGAAAGAAAUCCUUGGCUCUAAUACAGUCGGGGGAUGACGGUACCGGAAGAAUAAGCACCGGCUAACUACGUGCCAGCAGCCGCGGUAAUACGUAGGGUGCAAGCGUUAAUCGGAAUUACUGGGCGUAAAGCGUGCGCAGGCGGUUUGCUAAGACCGAUGUGAAAUCCCCGGGCUCAACCUGGGAACUGCAUUGGUGACUGGCAGGCUAGAGUAUGGCAGAGGGGGGUAGAAUUCCACGUGUAGCAGUGAAAUGCGUAGAGAUGUGGAGGAAUACCGAUGGCGAAGGCAGCCCCCUGGGCCAAUACUGACGCUCAUGCACGAAAGCGUGGGGAGCAAACAGGAUUAGAUACCCUGGGUAGUCCACGCCCUAAACGAUGUCAACUAGUUGUUGGGGAUUCAUUUCCUUAGUAACGUAGCUAACGCGUGAAGUUGACCGCCUGGGGAGUACGGUCGUCAAGAUUAAAACUCAAAGGAAUUGAC
rnacentral:rRNA from 1 species